rnacentral:lncRNA from 7 species
AUAGCCUUGCUUCAGCCUUUAUCAUGAGGAUCCAUGACUGUUUUGGAGGAGGUUCUUUUGCAAUACUUGGUCCUGGCCCAGAGAUGUGCUGGUCAGAAGGCAACAGAUCUGCAACCAACUUCUUUUGAAUUUCAGAAGAUGAUAACCAUAAAAGUGAAUGAACUCUAUAGCUUAAAAACAACCAACUCAUGCCCUUACAGACUUCUAAGGAGUAAAACAAGUGAAUAUCAGAGAGAACAUGAAACCCAUAUCCAAUUAACUUCAGCUUGUUUGAAAAACACUGGAAAGGAGAAUGUCUUCUGUGCAAGUGACUGAGGAGCUGUGCAACUGUCCCAGUUUUGCAGUAUGUAUAUGUAAUCAGUACUCAGGUCUGGGAAGCUGAAUCUUGCAUAGACCACUGAUGGGAGGAGAAUGUUCAGAAAGGGAAGAAGGGAUUAGAUCAUAAGGAGUCACUGAUUGUAUAUUGAUUAUUGCGAUAAGGAAACUCUUGUGUCACGACCCGCUGGCGUCUGGCUAAUCCGAUGGUAUUCGUCGCCGCAUUGUCCGUGAUCAAUAACUAAUUAUCAAAGUGGCAUUUCUUUUCAAGAGCUCCUUGUUAAAAAAUGGCUUUUGGCUGAGACUAGAGAAAAAGGUCGCCACUUUGACAUCGUUGCAAGUCUUUCAAAAUCCAGUGGGCCGUCCAAUUGAAUUACUGUCCCAAACUAAUUGAUAUAAAUUUGAACAGAAGAAUGCUUGUUACUACAGAAUGUCAUAAUGAUAUCCUUGGCAAGAGCAUGUCAGUGGGAAAAAAGAGAAAAGACCAGCACUAGUCACAAAGCAUCUAGACUAGCUGUAGCAGAAGACUGUUAACAAAACUAAGAGGAAUAAACUUGUAUAUCAGUUCCUUCUUCUCAACCUAACUACCUUCCCCUCUGUGUCAUACACUCUGUCCCUGAGCUGGGAAUUGCAAAGGAGGAGCACAGGCAAAGGUCACGCCACAAAGGGUACAGAAGUAGAGCAAAGGACCAUAUGCAGCUAGAUCAAAGCAGGAGUCUGUCCAGAAAGGAGUUGUGGCUCAUGAGUCAUAACUAAUCCCUUGAUUACCCUCAGAUGCCAUGUAGGAUCAGAAGCAGGGAUCCAGGAGAGCAGUUGUGCUAUGUCCAGAGCAUUCACGGUUGAGUAGCUCAGGAGAAACUGGGGCUGACAGAAAUGGCCAUCCUUUCCUUGGAGAAUUAUACUACAAUGAUUUGGAUAAGACUGCGAUAUUCUUUGAGAAAAUCCUAUGGAUAACAUGAAAUAAAAAUCAUUGUACUGAAGGCAUUCUAUUGGCAGAUCUGCAUGUUCUUAACUGUUGUAGCAAGAAGAUGUGGUACCCAAAAAUGUGCCCGCAUUUGCUGCUGUGGAAACAUGGCAUGGCUUCCCUUACCUUUGCAAUGUAAAGAGUUUUUGGCUGCACAUGAAGGAGAAGUUUUGGCUUUUCAGAACUUGAGAAUAUUAAGGUCCUGCAAGUAGAACACCCCAAAGACUUCGUCACUGCUGAAAUCCAUUGUCUAAAGAAGACUGUGAACACAGCAAAAGAUGAGUUUCCCAGGCUCUGGAGAUGCAGGAUGUGGUGUUUGGGGGUCUAGAAAAAUGUUUUUUGGAUAACUGGGAGACUAUUGCAUGAAAUCUGCGCUGGCUGCUGCACUACGUCCUUAUGCAAAAUUGGUGGCUUCUUUUCUGAAUUAAGUGAUGGAAUGACGUGGUGAGGUAUUGGUUUGAGAGAGGAGGUAACGUCAAAGGGAAAGGAGGUGCUCUGGCAUAUGUAAGAUGAAAAAAAAAAGAGGGUAUUCCUGAAAGAAGAAUGCACAUCAGUCAAAGGCAUCAAUAAAUAAAGCUCUUUUUCAUAU